GGGCCUGUGCCCCCCCCCAGAUCACAGCUAGGUGUGUAAACUGGAUAUGCCUAUUGUGUGGUUUCUGUGUCUUUUUUUAAGGCCUGGGGGGUAUACCACGAACCUCGCUAAACAUACUCAGGCUUUCUUGGGAAAGCCUGGCUCAACAGAGACGCAACUGGCAAUCAGAGUUAAAUGGUACCACGACACUCACUUUAGAUUCAAUAAGUCGAACCAGGUUUUCCGCUUUAGGUUCAAUGCGCGUUCACAUAAAAGGGGCGUUUAUCGCGUCAUUUGAGUCACCCUUAUCCAAAAUGAAUCGAGCGAGAGCGGUGUAUUACACCCAAGACGAGCAUUGUAUUAUUAUGAAUUACUACGAGGAAUUCAAAGUCCAAAUCACAGCCAAGGGGAACACGGUUGCCCAUAAUAAGGCUAGGGUGGCGUGCUGGCAGAAAUAGCCGACCGUGUUAAUUCGUAAAUGAAAAGAUUAUGCAUAUUGUCUAAAAAAUAGUCAAAAUAAAUAAAUAAAAAUAUAUAUUUUAUAAAUAUAAAAAUAUUAUUCAAUGUGGUAAGUUGUAAGCAUCCAUUUGAAUAAUUUCAGGUGAAUCAAGCCUAUGAUUUGCAAUGGCCUAGGCUCAGACCUUUAAUCUUAUGUUGAUUACCUGUAGCAAAUAAAAAGAGAACCCAAAUGAAUACGACUGGGAGGGGGACUGCUCCACCGCCCUUCCCCACUUCGGAGGAGCUGGCUCUCACCAAUAACGAAGGUCGGUCGAUGAUGGUGGGAGUGGAAGGGGGGAUGUCCUCUGACCCCACUGCCUCGACAUCCAAGGCGUUUGUAAUGAGUAUGUAUUCAUGUAUUGGCAAUGGACAUAAAUAAUUGUCUUGCUAAACAAAUGUGAAAUGAUUGAGUGUAAAUUAAUUGUGUCAUUUUUAGUUGAUGGCACAAACAUUAUUUUGGAGGAGCCGCCGACAAUCAAUCUCCAAUCAGAUGGAGACUCUGUCUGCCUGUGACUCCAGGGCGACUAUGGAGGUGAUUUUUCUUAACAAUUCUCACAGCUAUAAUAUGAAUUUGUUGAAUAAACAAUGCCCAGGCCUAAUUGUGUCACUGACAUAGCGGUUAUGCAAGGGAUAAUGGACAACACGGCACUUGACUAUCCAAGGUUCAUGUACGUUGAACGUGGGGCCAUCUUUGAACUUGAAACGCAGACACACUGCGCAACAGUAAGUGCACGGCUUCUUUGUGUAGCAUUGCCUACAUACGGUCCAACAAGGACGAUCAAAUAACGAAUACCCUCUGAGGAGAAUCUGUAUCUCUCAUAAAGAAUAUCGUCAGACAAUGCCAAGGGAUCGGUUCUGCCCCGCAAAACCCUCUGUCUCCGCAGAGACGCCUGUACGAUAAGUGCGCCGAGGUCCGAGGGAACGCCCACAAAAUGGGGCUAGGAAGCUGCUCACGCCGAUUUACGUAGCCGAUCGCUGGGUAGACCAAGCUGAAAAGCUGCUCCCGACCAGUUUCUGCUUAAGAUGAAGGAGCUGAUGCAGCAGACGGAUUGAAACUACAUUUUACCGGACCAGUGACCUUAUUUGAAUUCCCUACACCAUGUUUUAGCCCUGCUAUUGUUUCUUCGUACACCUUUAGCUGGGGAGGCUCUUUAACGGAAGGACUAAAUCAACGAGUGCCUAAUCUUGAUGAGCUCUGACUCUAUACUCAGGAAACGUGAACUAUAGCCAAACCUUACCCAAAUGGGUCCCUUGCCCUUUACCCUCUAAAGGUUCCUCCUCUUCCCCACUGAGGCCCCUGUACUCAAUGCCUUAAUGUUUCAAGAUUAUUGUGGCGAGAAGGAUGAGACGGGAGCCCAAGUUUAGCAGUUUGCUGCAGUUCCGCGCCCCAUACGCGGCACGACUACAGACUG
ensembl:lncRNA